GUGCAGCAGGCGAGAAUUUUUCUCAAUGGGGGCAACCCUGAAGGAGCGACGCCGCGUGGAGGAUGAAGGCUUUCGGGUUGUAAACUCCUGUCAUUUGAGAACAAGUGUUAGCAAGUAACUACUGCUAGCUUGAUAGUAUCAGAAGAGGAAGGGACGGCUAACUCUGUGCCAGCAGCCGCGGUAAUACAGAGGUCCCAAGCGUUGUUCGGAUUCAUUGGGCGUAAAGGGUGCGUAGGUGGCGCCGUCAGUGGGGUGUGAAAUCUCGGGGCUUAACUCCGAAACUGCAUUCCAUACUGCGGUGCUUGAGGACUGGAGAGGAGACUGGAAUUUACGGUGUAGCAGUGAAAUGCGUAGAGAUCGUAAGGAAGACCAGUGGCGAAGGCGGGUCUCUGGACAGUUCCUGACACUGAGGCACGAAGGCCAGGGGAGCGAACGGGAUUAGAUACCCCUGUAGU
rnacentral:rRNA from 1 species